rnacentral:tRNA from 1 species
GAGGCUGUAACUCAGUGGUAGAGUGCUUGCCUAGCACAUGUGAGGCACUGUGUUCGAUCCUCAGAGCCACA